rnacentral:misc_RNA from 1 species
UACAGAGGUCUCAAGCGUUGUUCGGAUUCAUUGGGCGUAAAGGGUGCGUAGGCGGCGCGAUAAGUCGGGUGUGAAAUUUCGAGGCUUAACUUCGAAACUGCAUUCGAUACUGCCGUGCUUGAGGACUGGAGAGGAGACUGGAAUUUACGGUGUAGCGGUGAAAUGCGUAGAUAUCGUAAGGAAGACCAGUGGCGAAGGCGGGUCUCUGGACAGUUCCUGACGCUGAGGCACGAAGGCCGGGGGAGCAAACGGG